rnacentral:lncRNA from 1 species
GCGGCAGUGUAGAAUCAUAGAUUAAUAUUAUUGACUUUGAUUUUAUUUAUAAAUUGAUUUUGCAUAGAGAAACAUCAUUAUGACUGGAGAUUUAACAUAAAUGCAUUAUAAACUAACGUAAACCAGCCUAUUUAUUGGUUGUUUCUCUACGUAAGUUCACUCUACCUGCGGUUUAUAGCCUAUAGCGCAGACGCAAAUGAUUAAUACUGACAAGUAAUUUAGAUUACUGCCUGUGGCAAUCAUAUAAACACAAGCUGUUUACAUUUUUGAAACAAAACAAAAAGAAUUCUAUUGCGAAUUCGUUCUAACUGUGACGUCACUGCACUGGUGGCUUUUAGAACUUGUGUCCUGGUCACAGAAACCUCAUUUUGACUCGUUGCUUCAGUUAUACACGCUUUAGUGUCGGUAUACUUGAUUGGUGUGCGGUUUUGAAACGGCGUACAGUUUUGAAUUAAUCCUGGAUUCCACAUCGGUGUCUGAUUGUGAAUCUGCAUUAUCAUUCAGUAUUGUUGCAGCCUACCCUUUUAAGAUCUGAACAUGACCUGUAACACAUUUCACAAGCUCAGGCUCCAAACAUGGGUCAGCGCUCACCAGAACAUCAUUACUGUGAGCGAAAACACCACAACCUCCAGCCAAAUGCAGGCUGUCAAGCUUCCGACCAUCCAUAGUCCUUCCCUUGCAAGAGGACUGCGUCCAUUCCCACCACCUCAGAAGAAGGUGAACGGAUCCAGUCUCAGUGCUGAAGAACAAUUUCUGAUCUUUGGGCUCCAAUGCAGGGAGGACAAAACAGGGGAAGAAGUCAGGUUGUUCAUUAGAGAGGGACAACAGGAACGGCCCGCCACAGGAACGCGACCAACAGGGGCCCGAAGCGAAAGCUGUCUUCCACCGCUCAACGUGCGGAGGGCAGUGUUUCAACCCAUCUCAGAGUACAAAGCUGAGGUUUUACAAAGCGGUCGCUGUAAACUUGAUACAAUACAUAAAAUGGAGAUCCUGCAUACUUGGGCCCAACUCGCUUCUAUGGAGGAAAGCGAAAUGUCCCAAAUAGAGCUCGGAGCAAAACAAGACUGGGCCAAUUAUGAAGCCUCUUUCCGUGACUCGGAUCCCUUGAAGAACGAGCAAAAGGCUCAGGAUUCAUUUUCAAAGAGGCUAAAAUUAGAAGAAAAGGAAAAAGCUCUUCUAAGAAAAAUCUAUCGUGUUCAAGACACAAUUGAAAUUGAAGAGAUGCAUCUGAAGGAAGACCGCGAGCGUGAAGAGCGUGAGGAAGAGGGCAGCAAACAAAGCCCAGGGGACAUUGAAAAAUUAACGUGGGAGUAUGUGAAUUUCAUGUCCAUAAAUGAGGAAACCAACAAGGUACUCAAGUACUACGAGGAUGAAAAGGAAAAGCUUAAAAAGAAUGCAGACCGCAUGGAGGUGGAGAUACAGAGCAUGGCUCUCUGCAUUAAAGAAGAGCAGGUGAAAAAAACAAGGUCAAAGCAGAAGUGGGGAUGA